CAUGUAGGUGGCUAAUUAAGUCAGGUGUGAAAUCCUUCCGCUUAACGGAAGAAGUGCACUUGAAACUGCUUAGCUAGAGUACGGGAGAGGAAGGUGGAAUUCCUGGUGUAGAGGUGAAAUUCAUAGAUAUCGGGAAGAACACCGGUGGCGAAGGCGGCCUUCUGGCCCGAUACUGACGCUGAGACGCGAAAGCGUGGGGAGCAAACA
rnacentral:rRNA from 1 species